CUUGGUCAUUUAGAGGAAGUAAAAGUCGUAACAAGGUUUCCGUAGGUGAACCUGCGGAAGGAUCAUUCACAAACGAGUGUUUUAUGGCACUCUUUAAAAAUCCAUAUCCACCUUGUGUGCAAUGUUUGUUGGGAAAGUCUUUUCUUUCCCUUCAUAAAUAUCAACCUAUAUCUUUAACAACAUUCGUCUGAUAACAUAUUAUGAAUAUACUUAAUUCAAAAUAUAACUUUCAACAACGGAUCUCUUGGCUCUCGCAUCGAUGAAGAACGCAGCGAGAUACGAUACGUAAUGUGAAUUGCAGAAUUCAGUGAAUCAUCGAAUCUUUGAACGCAUAUUGCGCUCUUUGGUAUUCCGAAGAGCAUGCUUGUUUGAGUAUCAGUAAACGCCUCAACCUCUCUUUUUUGAUAAAAAAAAGGGAGGGUGGACUUGAGCUAUCCCAACGACCUUCACCGGUAGGCGGGCGGCUUGAAAUGCAGGUGCAGCUGGACUUUUAUCUGAGCUAAAAGCAUAUCUAUUUAGUCCUCGUCAAACAGGAUUAUUACUUUUGCUGCAGCUAACAUAAAGGAUAAUUGUCCUCUUUGCUGACUGAUGCAGGAUUUUACGACACUUUAUGUGUUGUUCAACUCGAUCUCAAAUCAAGUAAGACUACCCGCUGAACUUAAGCAUAUCAAUAAGCGGAGGAAAAGAAACUAACAAGGAUUCCCCUAGUAACGGCGAGUGAAGCGGGAUGAGCUCAAAUUUGAAAUCUGGCUGGUUUACUAGUCCGAGUUGUAAUUUAAAGAAGCGUUUUCGGUGGCAGCCUGGGUAUAAAUCCUUUGGAAUAGGGUAUCAUAGAGGGUGAGAAUCCCGUCUUUGACCUAGUGCAUGCUACUAUGUGAUACGUUUUCAAAGAGUCGAGUUGUUUGGGAAU
rnacentral:sRNA from 1 species